rnacentral:rRNA from 1 species
AGAAUCAACGCUGGCGGCGUGCCUAACACAUGCAAGUCGAACGAGAAAGUGGAGCAAUCCAUGAGUAAAGUGGCGUACGGGUGAGUAACACGUGGAUCAUCUACCUUUUAGUGAGGAAUAACCAUGGGAAACCGUGGCUAAUACCGCAUAAGCCCGAGAGGGGAAAGUCGCAAGACGCUGAAAGAGGAGUCCGCGGCCGAUUAGCUAGUUGGCAGGGUAAAAGCCUACCAAGGCAAAGAUCGGUAGCCGGCCUGAGAGGGCACACGGCCACACUGGCACUGAAACACGGGCCAGACUCCUACGGGAGGCAGCAGUGGGGAAUCUUGCACAAUGGGGGAAAGCCUGAUGCAGCGACGCCGCGUGAGCGAUGAAGCCCUUCGGGGUGUAAAGCUCUUUCGACGGGAACGAUAAUGACGGUACCCGGAGAAGAAGCUGCGGCUAACUACGUGCCAGCAGCCGCGGUAAUACGUAGGCAGCGAGCGUUGUUCGGAAUUACUGGGCGUAAAGAGUGUGUAGGCGGUGUUCCCAGUCUGUUGUGAAAUCUCCCGGCUUAACUGGGAGGGUGCAGCGGAAACUAGAAUGCUAGAGGGUGGGAGAGGUAAGCGGAAUUCCUGGUGUAGCGGUGAAAUGCGUAGAUAUCAGGAGGAACACCUGUGGUGUAGACAGCUUACUGGACCACUUCUGACGCUGAGACACGAAAGCGUGGGUAGCAAACAGGA